rnacentral:rRNA from 1 species
UACGUAGGGGGCAAGCGUUAUCCGGAAUUACUGGGUGUAAAGGGUGAGUAGGCGGUAAGGUAAGUCAUAUGUGAAAGCCCAAGGCUUAACCUUGGGACUGCAUAAGAAACUGCCAGACUAGAGUACAGGAGAGAAGAGUGGAAUUCCACGUGUAGCGGUGAAAUGCGUAGAGAUGUGGAGGAACACCAGUGGCGAAGGCGACUCUUUGGCCUGUAACUGACGCUGAGGCGCGAAAGCGUGGGGAGCAAACAGG